rnacentral:tRNA from 1 species
GCAUUGGUCGGUUCAGUGGUAGAAUCCUCGCCUGCCACGCGGGGGGCCCGGGUUCGAUUCCCGGCCAAUGCA